rnacentral:rRNA from 1 species
UACGUAGGGUGCAAGCGUUAAUCGGAAUUACUGGGCGUAAAGCGUGCGCAGGCGGUUUUGUAAGCCAGAUGUGAAAGCCCCGGGCUUAACCUGGGAAUGGCAUUUGGGACUGCAAGGCUUGAGUGCGGCAGAGGAGACUGGAAUUCCUGGUGUAGCAGUGAAAUGCGUAGAUAUCAGGAGGAAUACCGAUGGCGAAGGCAGGUCUCUGGGCUGACACUGACGCUCAUGCACGAAAGGCGUGGGGAGCAAACAAGG